GACGAACGCUGGCGGCGUGCCUAAUACAUGCAAGUAGGACGCAGUUGCGAACGGGUGAGUAACGCGUCGGUAACUGCCUAUUAGAGGGGGAUAACUAUUGGAAACGAUAGCUAAUACCGCAUACUUGUAGAUGGACCUGCGUUUUAUUAGCUAGUAGGUAGGGUAAUGGCCUACCUAGGCGACGAUACAUAGCCGAGCUGAGAGGGUGAUCGGCCAAACGGGGACUGAGACACGGGCCAGACGCCUACGGGAGGCAGCAGUAGGGAAUCUGCGGCAAUGGGGGGAACCCUGACCGAGCAACGCCGCGUGAGUGAAGAAGGUGUUAGGAUCGUAAAGCUCUGUUGUUAAGGAAGCGGUACUUAACCAGAAAGCCACGGCUAACUACGUGCCAGCCGCCGCGGUAAUAC
rnacentral:rRNA from 1 species